CCUACGGGAGGCAGCAGUGAGGAAUAUUGGUCAAUGGACGAGAGUCUGAACCAGCCAAGUAGCGUGCAGGAUGACGGCCCUAUGGGUUGUAAACUUCUUUUAUACAGGAAUAAACCGAGACACGCGUGCCUUUCUGCAUGUACUUUAUGAAUAAGGAUCGGCUAACUCCGUGCCAGCAGCCGCGGUAAUACGGAGGAUCCGAGCGUUAUCCGGAUUUAUUGGGUUUAAAGGGUGUGUAGAUUGGUGGUUAAGUCAGUGGUGAAAGUUUGGGGCUCAACCGUCAAAUUGCAAUUGAUACUGGCAGUCUAGAGUGCAGUUGAGGUAGGCGGAAUUCGUGGUGUAGCGGUGAAAUGCUUAGAUAUCACGAAGAACACCGAUUGCGAAGGCAGCUUACUAAGCUGUGACUGACGUUGAUGCUCGAAAGUGUGGGUAUCAAACAGGAUUAGAUACCCUUGUAGUC
rnacentral:rRNA from 1 species